rnacentral:rRNA from 1 species
AGGAGAGUUUGAUCCUGGCUCAGGACGAACGCUGGCGGCGUGCUUAACACAUGCAAGUCGAACGGGGAUAAUUGCGGAAGGACUUCGGUUUGGAAGCGAUUAUUCGAGUGGCGGACGGGUGAGUAACGCGUGAGCAAUCUGUCCCAGACAGGGGGAUAACACUUGGAAACAGGUGCUAAUACCGCAUGAGACCACGGCAUCGCAUGGUGCUGAGGUAAAAGGAGAAAUCCGGUUUGGGGUGAGCUCGCGUCCGAUUAGCCAGUUGGCGGGGUAACGGCCCACCAAAGCGACGAUCGGUAGCCGACCUGAGAGGGUGAUCGGCCACAUUGGAACUGAGAGACGGUCCAAACUCCUACGGGAGGCAGCAGUGGGGAAUAUUGGGCAAUGGGCGAAAGCCUGACCCAGCAACGCCGCGUGAGUGAAGAAGGCCUUCGGGUUGUAAAGCUCUGUUACAGGUGACGAAGGAAGUGACGGUAAUCUGUAAGGAAGCCCCGGCUAACUACGUGCCAGCAGCCGCGGUAAUACGUAGGGGGCGAGCGUUGUCCGGAAUGACUGGGCGUAAAGGGCGUGUAGGCGGCCGACUAAGUCUGGAGUGAAAGUCCUGCUUUCAAGGUGGGAAUUGCUUUGGAUACUGGUUGGCUUGAGUGCGGAAGAGGUAAGUGGAAUUCCCAGUGUAGCGGUGAAAUGCGUAGAGAUUGGGAGGAACACCAGUGGCGAAGGCGACUUACUGGGCCGUAACUGACGCUGAGGCGCGAAAGCGUGGGGAGCGAACAGGAUUAGAUACCCUGGUAGUCCCCU